AAUAUUGGACAAUGGGCGAAAGCCUGAUCCAGCCAUGCCGCGUGUGUGAAGAAGGUCUUCGGAUUGUAAAGCACUUUAAGUUUGGAGGAAGGGCAGUAAGUCAAUACCUUGCUGUUUUGACGUCACCGACAGAAUAAUCACCGGCUAACUUCGUGCCAGCAGCCGCGGUAAUACGAAGGGUGCAAGCGUUAAUCGGAAUUACUGGGCGUAAAGCGCGCGUAGGUGGUUUGUUAAGUUGGAAGUGAAAGCCCCGGGCUCAACCUGGGAACUGCUUUCAUAACUGCUGAGCUAGAGUACGGUAGAGGGUAGUGGAAUUUCCUGUGUAGCGGUGAAAUGCGUAGAUAUAGGAAGGAACACCAGUGGCGAAGGCGACCACCUGGGCUAAUACUGACACUGAGGUGCGAAAGCGUGGGGAGCAAACAGG
rnacentral:rRNA from 1 species